CCCACACUGUAUGGCACUGUGUGUUUUUUAAUAAAAUACUUUAUUGACUCACUAUGGACUUUUUCAGUCGUGUGUCUCUUCCUCAAAUUCGAACCAUGACAAAGAAGAAGCACGGGAGCCGGAACCCGGUUCUGGCCCGGGGCAUCGGUCGCUACUGCUGGUCUGCUCGCAGGGCUAUAUAUAAGAAAAAGACCAAGACCACUGAGACCAAGAGGCAGACCUGUGGUGCCAUACAAUUUUUUUAAUAUUGAUCAAAGACAUGCCACUUUUUCUUUGUCACUUUUUUAGAUGAUAAUUUUUUUUGCUCCAGGUGGAGGAUAAGAGUAAGGCUAGACCUAAGGCAAGUCAUCAAGACUGUUGGAGGAGACAGCAGCUCAGCAGUGGACAUGAUGGUGAUCUGGAAGAUGACAAAACAAAGCAGGUCAAUGGGUCAACCAUUACAGCGAAGACUAAUGGGUAACAGCACCAGAAACGUCAGAAUCCUUCAGGUGGCUUAGUUGGUGGCUUGCAGCGAUUGACAGGUGGCCUGCUGGAGCGUGGAUUCAUUGGUGGCUGGCAGCAAUUGAGAUGGAGACCCUUGGGAUAUCCUUGGCAGGUGGAAUCCACUCCGGCGUUGUGGCAGGCAGUGGCAUGGAGACCAUGGCAGCCAUUGACAUGUCGAAGAGGUUAACACGUGAGGAGCAGAUCGAAAUUGUGUUGGUAUCUGGUGAAUGCAGUAACUGGGUCAUUGCAGCAGAUUUCAAUGCAAGACACCCUACGAGACCACCCAUCCUGCUCUUGCUCUUGACGAAGGCGGUCGCACUUUUCUCCUCUCCUCCUCCUCUCCCUUAGCUUCCCUGCUUAGCCUCUUAUGUCCUUGUCUAGUCUCGUGUUUUUUGUAUUACUUUUCCCUGGAACACUCUCUCACAGUCUGUUCUCUAAAACCUAAAAGAGAAAUUAUGGAUUGGAUCAACUGGUCCCUAAAUGCAAUUGACACCCCUUUCUCAACGAGAAGUUUGGGCUUGGGUGAGCCUGAGUGCUGAAGAUAUCUACCUAUUCGGAACCAUGGUAACAGGGUUCUGGCUGAUCGGAGCUGGCUUGGCCCUGACUUAUCGAAGAAUUAAGAAAGCGGAACCGGCUGUUCAAACCCCCACAAGGCUGCCCGCUGAGAUUGAAACGAUGGGAAGAGGCGUGAGUUUCUCAAAAUGGGCUCAUUGAGUGCAGCACGGAUAAGAUCUUGGAAAGGCUACGGCUGCUGUGAAUACUCAGAAUAAGAUCUCUGACUGCAGACUGGAUUACAUCUCGGAAGGGUUAGCUCGGAAUAACAUCUCUGAGCGCAAAUUGGAUGACAUCUCGGGGAGGCACACUGUCGUGAGUUGUCAGAAUCGGCUCCUUGAGCACAAGAAAUGACAUCACAGAGCGCAAGUAUGGCGAAGCUCGCGGCUCUCCAACGGGAGAUUGAGAGACCAGUGUUGGACUGUAGAACUGCUUUGAAAUUCAUAUGAGCUGUUCGUACUAAAGUAAAAAGCACCAUCACUUCAUGCAGAUACCCUCUCGGCGCCAGCUGCGGUCGCAAGGCUGGAGCCAAACAAAAACACCCUGAUAACGACUGUGUUUAGACUGUUCCUUCCCAUUCCAUGCAAGGCCACCUGGGUUGGCUGGAAGACUGUUUACUUUGCCUAGCAGGGCGAAGGACACUGUCUCAGCUGAACUCUGGACACGCACACACAUACAUAUACACUGAUAUGCACACACUCAUCCCCCCUCCCUCUCCAAACGCCUUCGACGCUUAUUCCCUUCCAAUGCUGACGGUGGAUCAAGGAGCCCAGCGCACAGGCUGCAGGCCCGGAUGUACUGUCUAAAUCGGCUGUCUCUCACCCUGCUGUAACCCUAAUUUCCUUUGGGAUUAAUAAAGUAUUCUGAUGAUAAGAGAUAAGAUAAGAUAAGAUAGAAGAUAAGAUAGAACUUUAUUAAUCCCUCGGGUGGGUUCCUCUGGGAAAUUCGACUUCCAAAAAGCACAGCAACGACCGAAGUUACAG
ensembl:lncRNA